rnacentral:rRNA from 1 species
GACGAACGCUGGCGGCGUGCUUAACACAUGCAAGUCGAACGGAAAGGCCCUGCUUUUGUGGGGUGCUCGAGUGGCGAACGGGUGAGUAACACGUGAGUAACCUGCCCUUGACUUUGGGAUAACUUCAGGAAACUGGGGCUAAUACCGGAUAGGAGCUCCUGCUGCAUGGUGGUGGUUGGAAAGUUUCGGCGGUUGGGGAUGGACUCGCGGCUUAUCAGCUUGUUGGUGGGGUAGUGGCUUACCAAGGCUUUGACGGGUAGCCGGCCUGAGAGGGUGACCGGCCAAAUUGGGACUGAGAUACGGCCCAGAAUCAAACGGGAGGCAGCAGUGGGGAAUAGUGCACAAUGGGCGGAAGCCUGAUGCAGCAACGCCGCGUGCGGGAUGACGGCCUUCGGGUUGUAAACCGCUUUCGCCUGUGACGAAGCGUGAGUGACGGUAAUGGGUAAAGAAGCACCGGCUAACUACGUG